ACGUGAUCUGAGUUCAGACCGGAGUAAUCCAGGUCGGUUUCUAUCUAUAACAGCACUUAUUCCAGUACGAAAGGACCGAAAAAGUAUGGCCCAUGCUUAAUGUAAGCCAUUGUUAGUAAAUUAUGAUAACAACUUAAUAGUCUACUUAUCUACCACGUACCUCAAAACAAGAGA
rnacentral:rRNA from 1 species